GUUAGGAAAAGAGAAGGCAGAAGCAGUUUACGUGAAAACAGACUUUUGGGAGAAAAGGGAGAGAAGAGCAAGUAGAGCCAAGAACUGAUUUUGCUGUGCAUUUCUUUCUAUAAAAUUAAGGUAUUUGAAGAUUAGUAGGAGUGGUGGCUCAAGUGUCUAGGGCUCUGAUACGUACGGGAUGGAAUUUUCUUAUUCCCUAUGGUUGUUGAAUUUAUGUUGA
rnacentral:lncRNA from 1 species